rnacentral:misc_RNA from 1 species
GUGAAUCAUCGAAUUUUUGAACGCAAAUUGCACUCUCUGGUAUUCCGGAAAGUAUGCCUGUUUGAGGGUCAGUUAAAUCAAAAUCGGUGUUGUUGCGGCUAUUAUUGGGGAUGGAUCGGGGUUGGGUUUGCUUUGCCCUUUGGUAUACGUGACUUAAAAUUUGUACGAUUUUGGAACGUUUUUAAAUUAUGUACGUACUUUCGUAAACUCAUAUAUGAGGUUCGGU